UACGUAGGGUGCGAGCGUUGUCCGGAAUUAUUGGGCGUAAAGGGCUCGUAGGCGGUCUGUUGCGUCGGGCGUGAAAACUCAGGGCUUAACCCUGAGCCUGCUUCCGAUACGGGCAGACUAGAGGUAUGCAGGGGAGAACGGAAUUCCUGGUGUAGCGGUGAAAUGCGCAGAUAUCAGGAGGAACACCGGUGGCGAAGGCGGUUCUCUGGGCAUUACCUGACGCUGAGGAGCGAAAGUGUGGGGAGCGAACAGG
rnacentral:rRNA from 1 species